GGGAACGUACCCUUCGGUUCGGAAUAACUCAGGGAAACUUGAGCUAAUACCGGAUACGCCCUUUUGGGGAAAGGUUUACUGCCGAAGGAUCGGCCCGCGUCUGAUUAGCUUGUUGGUGGGGUAACGGCCUACCAAGGCGACGAUCAGUAGCUGGUCUGAGAGGAUGAUCAGCCACACUGGGACUGAGACACGGCCCAGACUCCUACGGGAGGCAGCAGUGGGGAAUAUUGGACAAUGGGCGCAAGCCUGAUCCAGCCAUGCCGCGUGAGUGAUGAAGGCCUUAGGGUUGUAAAGCUCUUUUGUCCGGGACGAUAAUGACGGUACCGGAAGAAUAAGCCCCGGCUAACUUCGUGCCAGCAGCCGCGGUAAUACGAAGGGGGCUAGCGUUGCUCGGAAUCACUGGGCGUAAAGGGCGCGUAGGCGGCCGAUUAAGUCGGGGGUGAAAGCCUGUGGCUCAACCACAGAAUUGCCUUCGAUACCGGUUGGCUUGAGACCGGAAGAGGACAGCGGAACUGCGAGU
rnacentral:rRNA from 1 species